UACGUAGGGGGCAAGCGUUAUCCGGAUUUACUGGGUGUAAAGGGAGCGUAGACGGCGCGGCAAGUCUGAAGUGAAAGGCAGGGGCUUAACCCCUGAACUGCUUUGGAAACUGCCAUGCUAGAGUGCUGGAGAGGUAAGUGGAAUUCCUAGUGUAGCGGUGAAAUGCGUAGAUAUUAGGAGGAACACCAGUGGCGAAGGCGGCUUACCAGACUGAGUCUGACGCUGAUGCACGAGAGCAUGGGUAGCGAACAGG
rnacentral:rRNA from 1 species